GCUUGGAAUUCUUCAGGGGUAAGGAGGUUUGAUUGGAAAUUUUUCAGAGCUUGGAAUUCUUCAGGGGUAAAGGGUUUUCAGCUUGGAAUUCUUCAGGGGUAAAAGGUUUUGAGCUUGGAAUUUUUCAGGAGUAAAGGGUUUUGAGCUUGGAAUUCUUCAAGGGUAAAGGGUUUUGAGCUUGGAAUUCUUCAGGGGUAAAAGGUUUUGAGCUUGGAAUUCUUCAGGGGUAAAGGGUUUUGAGCUUGGAAUUUUGGAAUUCUUCAGGGGUAAAAGGGUUUGAGCUUGGAAUUCUUCAGGGGUAAAGGGUUUUGAGCUUGGAAUUUUGGAAUUCUUCAGGGGUAAAAGGUUUUGAGCUUGGAAUUCUUCAGGGGUAUAACCAUAAAAAACAUGUAUCCUCGACAGGGGGUGUACGGAUAUUAAAUGGAAUAGCCCAUUGCAGUCUCAGUUAAGAAAACUUGCGCGCGUUUUGAUUUACAAGUACUGUAGUUUUGUCUGAUUUAUCUUGCGUUUAGUGUUUUCAUUUCAAUUAUAAAGACAAGUAUUUUAGAACCUGAGGUGGAAAAUCGGGAAAUGGCUGUUAAAUACCCAACCUCAACUAUAUCAUAUUCAUAUAGGAAUGCAAGAUUUUGUGCAUUCUAUUCAAAUUACGCACAACAACACAGACCAACAAUAUUUUAUUCAUUAAAUUUCAAUGGCAAACCGAAACGGUAAUGUUUUAUAUUGAUUACUGAACGAUGGAAUUUAUUUUAUUAAUACUGUCUGUGAGAUGAGAUACAGUAUACACUACACAGCUGGACCUGAGCUGGUGUUUCAUGAAUAUUUUUGCCAACUCGAAUUUUAUAUUUGAUUUUAACCAUUAAGCUGCAAUGUUCCCUUAUUUUAUUGUUUUAUUCUGGCUAACGCCAGACAAUGUUUAUCUAAUUUGCCAAGGGGAUCUUAUACCGUAAACCUCCGACUAUAAGCCCUGGGCUUAUAACUUUCGUAAGCGAUUUUUGAUGGGCUUAUACAAGGGGAGGGG
rnacentral:lncRNA from 1 species